AAUAGAUACCCUGGUAGUCCACGCUGUAAACGUUGGACACUAGGUGUGGCGGUCUGAUCAACGACUGCCGUGCCGAAGCUAACGCAUUAAGUGUCCCGCCUGGGGAGUACGGCCGCAAGGCUAAAACUCAAAGGAAUUGACGGGUCCCCGCACAAGCGGCGGAGCAUGCGGCUUAAUUCGAUGCAACCCGAAGAACCUUACCUGGGUUUGACAUCAUGGGAAAAGCCGUGGAAACACGGUGUCCGUAAGGGCCCAUGACAGGCGGUGCAUGGCUGUCGUCAGCUCGUGUCGUGAGAUGUUGGGUUAAGUCCCGCAACGAGCGCAACCCUUGUCCUAUGUUGCCAGCGGUUCGGCCGGGGACUCAUAGGAGACUGCCGGGGAUAACUCGGAGGAAGGUGAGGACGAUGUCAAGUCAUCAUGCCCCUUAUAUCCAGGGGCUGCACGCAUGCUACAAUGGUCGGUACAACGGGGCAGCGAUCCGUGCGAAGGUGAGCGAAUCCCAUAAAGCCGGCCUCAGUUCGGGAUUGG
rnacentral:rRNA from 1 species